rnacentral:lncRNA from 1 species
GUUUCAGCCUGGCUGGCACAGUGAGAUACUGAAGGGAAGAUGAGCUCUGGGUGAUUUAUCUCUGGCUUCUUUUUCCAGUGCUGUUUCUACAAAGGCUCAUGCUGGUGCCAAUGGAACUUUCACAGCCAGCUUGUUUUUCCCCAUCCAAAGUGCAAGCAAGGCCGAAAAUGGAGAGCUAUUAAAAGCUCUGCUCCAAAUCCAGGUGGAGAGUAGUGUGCCAGCUGCUGGAGAGGAAGGAAGUCUGAGGUUUUCCAUAGGAUUUGCAUGGAUGUGGCCAGCAGGAGCUGUGAGGGUGAAACAUGAAGCACUGAGACUCAG